rnacentral:rRNA from 1 species
GACGAACCGUACGAACGUUAUUCGGAAUCACUGGGCUUAAAGGGUGCGUAGGCGGCUGUACAAGUCAAAGGUGAAAUCCCUCGGCUCAACUGAGGAACUGCCUUUGAAACUGUACGCUUGAGGCCGGGAGGGGGUAGCGGAAUUCCCAGUGUAGCGGUGAAAUGCGUAGAUACUGGGAGGAACACCAGUGGCGAAGGCGGCUAC